rnacentral:rRNA from 1 species
AAUAGAUACCCGGGUAGUCCACGCCGUAAACGAUGAGUGCUAAGUGUUAGAGGGUUUCCGCCCUUUAGUGCUGCAGCUAACGCAUUAAGCACUCCGCCUGGGGAGUACGGCCGCAAGGCUGAAACUCAAAGGAAUUGACGGGGGCCCGCACAAGCGGUGGAGCAUGUGGUUUAAUUCGAAGCAACGCGAAGAACCUUACCAGGUCUUGACAUCCUCUGCCAACCCUAGAGAUAGGGCGUUCCCCUUCGGGGGACAGAGUGACAGGUGGUGCAUGGUUGUCGUCAGCUCGUGUCGUGAGAUGUUGGGUUAAGUCCCGCAACGAGCGCAACCCUUGAUCUUAGUUGCCAGCAUUCAGUUGGGCACUCUAAGGUGACUGCCGGUGACAAACCGGAGGAAGGUGGGGAUGACGUCAAAUCAUCAUGCCCCUUAUGACCUGGGCUACACACGUGCUACAAUGGAUGGUACAAAGAGUUGCGAACCCGCGAGGGUAAGCCAAUCUCAUAAAAGCCAUUCUCAGUUCGGA